rnacentral:rRNA from 1 species
AGUCGAACGAGAUUUUCCGUUGUAGCAAUACGAUGGAAAGUCUAGUGGCGAACGGGUGCUUAACACGUGGGCAACCUGCCGAGAAGUGGGGGAUAGCUCGCCGAAAGGCGAAUUAAUACCGCAUGUGAUUGGAGAGGACAUCCUUUCGAAAUCAAAGUCGGGGCAACCUGACGCUUUUUGUGGGGCCCGCGGCCUAUCAGCUAGUUGGUGAGGUAACGGCUCACCAAGGCUUUGACGGGUAGCUGGUCUGAGAGGACGACCAGCCACACUGGGACUGAGACACGGCCCAGACACCUACGGGUGGCAGCAGUCGAGAAUUUUUGACAAUGGGGGAAACCCUGAUCGAGCGACGCCGCGUGGAGGAUGAAGGUCUUCGGAUUGUAAACUCCUGUCAUUGGGGAACAAUGGUUACACGUUAACUGCGCGUGACUUGAUAGUACCCGAAGAGGAAGAGACGGCUAACUCUGUGCCAGCAGCCGCGGUAAUACAGAGGUCUCAAGCGUUGUUCGGAUUCAUUGGGCGUAAAGGGUGCGUAGGCGGCGCGGUAAGUCGGGUGUGAAAUCUCGGAGCUUAACUCCGAAACUGCAUUCGAUACUGCCGUGCUUGAGGACUGGAGAGGAGACUGGAAUUUACGGUGUAGCGGUGAAAUGCGUAGAUAUCGUAAGGAAGACCAGUGGCGAAGGCGGGUCUCUGGACAGUUCCUGACGCUGAGGCACGAAGGUCAGGGGAGCAAACGGGAUUAGAUACCCCGGUAGUCCUGACAGUAAACGGUGCACGUUUGGUGUGGGAGGAUUCGACCC